rnacentral:rRNA from 1 species
UACAGGGGGUGCAAACGUUGCUCGGAAUCAUUGGGCGUAAAGCGCACGUAGGCGGUUCGUUAUGUCGGAUGUGAAAGCCCUUGGCUUAACCGAGGAAGUGCAUCCGAAACUGGCGAGCUAGAGUACGGAAGAGGAUCGCGGAAUUCCCGGUGUAGAGGUGAAAUUCGUAGAUAUCGGGAGGAACACCGGUGGCGAAGGCGGCGAUCUGGGCCGAUACUGACGCUGAGGAGCGAAAGCGUGGGGAGCGAACAGG